UCGACUAUAUUUCAGUCAUCAUCAGGAUAAACUCAUAUUUAUCAGGUUUAUCAGUUUUUUUUUUAUUUAUCAGGUUUAUCCUGAUGAUGACUGAAAUAUAGUCGA